rnacentral:misc_RNA from 1 species
UUGAGACAAGCAUAUGACUACUGGCAGGAUCAACCAGGUAGCAUCCCACUUCGACUUUGGCAUUGCAUGGACGAAUCGAAAACAACACCAACCGUCGUUCGCACAUAGCGUGUGACGCUAUUUUAAGAUCAAAGAAUAGAGACCGAUGAUGCCUCGUACCCACGAGGUACUCCAUGACCAAGAGAACGAGCACCGUGCCAUCGAUCCAACGGCCCAAGAAAAUUACUUGCUCCGUGGGCGUUGGAGCAUGACAUUUGCUUCGAAGUUCACCUCGUACCACGAACCCAAGGGCUCCCAGCAAAAGGCAAAAGGGUCCAUUAAUCCGACAAAUUCCCACACUUUGGGUAUAGAACACAAGAAACAUAGCUUGGCCAAGAUGUUUUUCCUGCGCUCUUGAACCAAUUACUGAAGAGGCAUGCGGGAUACAUUUUCGUUGCGCAAGCAAGGAAUCAACGUACCCAUACACACCAAC